GGGAUUUAUUUUAUUCAUUCUGGGGGCUUUCACAGCUUUAUGGCUGUUGGAUAUUUAUGUCCCCAAACUUGCAGCAAGUUUGGUGAAGGCCCCUAAAUUUAUUUUAAUUUAGGUUUUUUAUUCUCUUUUGGUAGACGGGCUCUAUAUUAAUAUUUAUCUUUUUAUUAUUGUUGUGUUUUUAAGAGUCUCAGGGGGAGGGAACAUGUUUUAAGAUGUUUGGGUACCUUUUCUUGUAACGGAACGCGUUUCCUCCCAGGCUGCUCAGGUGGUCCUUCAGCCACGCUGCCCCUUUCUCCCUCUUCCCCUGCAUUGCAUCUGUGCUGUAUUUGGGUUUGGUAAUGUGACUUUGUGUAGUCUUUCAACUAGUGGCAUGUAAAUAUUAUUUGCUAAUGUUUCCUCUUCUGGGGAGAUUAUCUACUGAAAGGCUUAAAAUACUUAGGUUUGAAUUAGUAAGUGACAUUUAUAGUCACAAAAUUGUGUAGCCUAAAUUAUAGAAUACAGUUUCUUUGGAAGAGGUUAAGAUGUUAAUACUGCUGCAUAUAUGAGCUGCACCACAAAUAUUAAUGUAGAGCCCUAUGAAGAAAUAGAGAUUCAAGUUGGUAAAGUAGAGUAGGAGAAUGAGAAAUGAAGGUGCAGAUUUUCCAGUUUGUCAGUUUCAGGGAAAACCUUAUCCUCAAUCUUUCAAAUACACCAAACUUCGCAAUAUUUUGUCUUCUGCAACAAUACCGAAAGUCAUAGUACUUUCUUGAAACCUCAUGGAAUUCUGUUGCAUAUUCAAAAUUUACUUAGGCAUAUACUUACCUGAAGUUCCUUCUUUCACACAGUGGCUAGCAAAAAAUUGCACCCUUUGUGAGGAAAAAUGAGCCUUUAAGUGUUGCUGCUUGCUUAGUUGCAGAUGCAUUGGUUUUGAAUGCUUGAGGUUGCUUAAAGACAACUUCAGCUUCAGAAGAACAGGUAUUGUCCAAGGAGGCCUUGCAGCCUACCAGCAGUGAAGUAGAAAAUUAACGAAUGUUGGAGUCAGGUUUAAUAAACUUUUUAAUUUUUUGAGAUACUUUUAAAAUUUGUUGUUUUUUGAUGAGCAUAGACUGUAUUUCAUUUCUUCAAGAUUUUGCUAAGUAAUGACGGCCGAUGUGAUUUCCAGUAGUUCUAAAGGAUAGAGUUGUAAUUCUUAAAUUAGUUACAAGGGUUGAUUUCACACUCCUGUUGUACUCUGCCCUUCACAUUUUUCCUCUACAAGCCUCCCUCUCCCCUCCCCAAAUAGUCUAGUCUGACUGGAACAUUGGCAUGUCUGUUGUUAACUGUUUCAGAGUUAUUUUUGAGCAUGGUAUUACUUCCCUAAUUCUCAUUGUGGUGCUACCCUCAAUAACAGUGAAGAUGAGAACAGCGCUUCAAGGUAUCCUACUGCAACUAGUAUCUGUUUCACAUCCUCAGUCUAUAGGAGCAUUUGGCACAGUUCUUACUUCCCUAGAAUAUCUAAGGAAAUGGUGUAAUCAAAAAUAAUAUGCGGUAUGGCUUGUACUUCUUGCUUUAAGUGUCUGAAUGUCAUAGAAACUCGAAAAAUAGGCAAAUUUCAAAUGCUUGAUACUGAAGUUUGUUAUCAGUUUCCAUUUAAGACUGAUGCAGCACUGGACAGUUCUUACCCAGCUUCUUACAUUCAGCUUAUCAUCAAGCACAUAGAGCUGAAAUACAGAUACAUGCGGUGUCUUGUGUCCAGUGGAGUAUCCCACUUAGAUCCACACUUGGUUUAUAUCUUAUAAAUUGAUACGCUGAAUUUAGAGAAAUUACAUUGAUCUGUUUUUGUUGAUGGUAACUAGUUUUGACCUGGUAAUAGAAAAAUAAAGUCUCCAAAAUGCAGUUCCUGUUUUCGCUGGGGCGUGGUUUAAGUUCUGUAUGCUGAUACUUUGGAGCAAAUGAACCAUUUUUUUGUGGUUUGGCUUGUUUUGUAAGCGAAACAUAGCACUUCUCAGCACCACAUUGCUAUAGAAUUUUUUUUCUUGAAGCUGCUUUUGGACUCUUCCAAGAAGAUUAAUUUCACACUAUCUACUUCUGAAAGACGCAUUUGACAUGAAGACAAUUCCUUGGGGUGUUACUGUAUGAAUUAGAGGGGGUUUUGACUCUGGGUUUUCCUGCUACGCUGCAAAUACUACUUGUAAUUUCUGGUGGAUAGUUCACACAUCCUUCGCUUCCAUCGUUUACAUUCCUGUCCUUUCUGUAAGCCUCUAAAGGGCUGGACAGGACAGGUCUCUUUUGUUCCCUCUUUUGGAGUCGGUAGCUUUAGCAGAUUAUAUUCAUGUUACUGUGAUCUGUUCCACAGACUGAUGUUUGUCCUUAAAUUUGCAGCAAGUAAUGAUGUGUGUUUGCCUUUUGCUUUGUGUUUUGUCUUUAAAGAUACAUGUGCAAGUGCUGCUGUCUUCCUAGUCACGAGGAUGGCAUACUGGCUCUCUGCUUUCUGCUGGGAGUUUUCUCCUCAGCUAUUACUCCAGCUGGCCUGUCAUCUCUUCAAAACAACUUUUUCAUCUAGUGCAAAUGGUUCAUAUUUUGCUCUUUUUGUAAAGUUCUGUUAGUGACACUUUCCUCCCUACGUCCUUGUGUGGAUCUAAGGGGGAUAGCUAUUUACAAUAUAGAUGAAAUCUCUUCAUUUUGAGGGAUGGUAGUGUGUUUCUGCUGAUGCUCCAGUAUUGCAGCUCUCAGUAUUGCAGCAGUCAGGGUAUCACAAAGUUGGUACAUCUCACUGUUUAUGGAAUUUCUUUUCUCAUGAUGAUAAUAUUUUAGUGACUCGACUUUUAUAGAUAUUAAUGGAAGUAGGUCUUGGAGUUUGGGAUUUUUUUAAGCUUAAGUAGAGGUACAUGACUUUUUAAGGGCAAGAAUUACUGUAUUCUGCUAAAUGGGGUGAAUUUUCACCCACUUGUUUUUAGCAAGAAAAGCGAAUGGGAGAUGUGGCAAAUAAAGUUCCACGCACAAAGUUUUGGCUUGCUUUAGCAUUGUGUGGUGAGUUCAUAACGUAUUCUGUGCCUUGCCUGAUAAAGAUUGUAGCCCUUAAAUACUCUGGGGAAUAGUGUACCUCCAGAAGAAAUUUUUUUUAGAGUGUGAAUAUUUGCAAUCAAAAUAAUCAGAUCAGUGAAAUAAUGGUGGUGACUGGGUUCUGUAAAAAUGCAGCUAUCAGUGACCACUGUAUUUUUCUGUAAUAGUUGGGGCAGGUUGGUACUAGUUUAGAAUAAGAUAAGUUUUGAAGCAGCCUUUGAAGGGAUCAAGGUAGAAUUGAAGUGAUUCUCAAAUGUAAUGUAUAUAACAUUCUUUUUGAAGUUCUGAAAAAGACUUUGUGAGGUUUUUUUUAUACACUCUAAGCAGCAGCUUUUUGCAGUCUUUUGUUAGAGCGCAGAUUCUAGUUCAGGCUCCACUACAAAAUGCAGUUAGAGUACGGUAUUUGUAGACUCUACUGUAUAAUGAAUGCAUUUUUAUUUUUGUAUUGUGAAGGUCUGUUUGAGGGAGGCGUGUGCUUGAGCUUGCUACUUUUGCAGACAGCCAUAUCCUGUCCUGAACCACAGGAUCCAGAACGUUGUCCUCAGUCAUUUGGUCUUAGCAUCCUGAUGUGUCGGUAUUGACAGUCCGUGGUAUGAGCUGUCUCUGAGGGCUGGUAUUUUAUACACCUGAUCACAGUGUCAAUAGUGAGGUGCUUCCACCUUCUGAGCAAGUUUACAAUAACUUGUUUUAUUCUUAUGGGCGUUCUUGCAGUAAGAAAAAUCAGCAGCACUGCUGUUUUAAUGAUGUAGAAUUUAAGUUAUCCAUACAUAUUGUCUUGAACUUAUCUUAAGGUUUUUCUUUCUCGGGAAUUUAAGGAAGUUUAAAAGUUUUGAGAAAAUGGUAGAAUUUUAAUGCUAGUGUCGUCAUAACUACAAACAAAGACACGCACAACUUUGAGAGCUUGAAAGCUUUCUUAAAAACUUCCCUUAUUAGGAGUUAAAGCAGAUCUCUAUUAGAUAACUGCCUUGUACCAGAGUCAAGCUUCUGAUGUCUCAAAUUUUCUUUUGUAAAUUUUGUCCAAAUCUUAACAGUGUUCCCAGAUGCUAUUCAAAAGGGGGUGUGUGUGUGUGUGUGUGUGUAGAAUUUCAACCUCUGCUGCCCUUAGCCAACAUGUAUAAAUGGUUUUCACUAACAAGAAUUACUGAAUUACCAGAAAUUAAGCUGUACAACCAAAGAAGCUAUUUUGCUGUCUCCUGGCGUAGGAAAUUGCAUAAUGCUUUGAAAUGAAGGUGUCAUGCAGAGCUUUUCCUUUCUCUUUUUUUUUUCAUUGAGUUACUUGCAUAUGUGUUACUUGCACUGAAUUCUUUAGCUUCUUUCCCAUACAUUUUAGUGGAAGAAAAUGCAUUUUGCUCUUUCAUUUGUAAAGUCUAGAAUAAGAAAACACUUUAUGAGACUGUUUAAUGAAGGAACCCGGCAAUGUAAGUAUUGUAAUUUCCUUUAUGUUUGUGGUAGACAAGAGGAUUACCUUGUUAAACUUCUGGCUUAUGUAUGAAAAAUUCCAGAAAACUAAGGGCAAACUGAAAGUAGUUUUAUAGUUGCCUUUACUUCGUAUGCUUUUCUUAAGCAAAAAAAUUGCACUAAUUGAAGUUUGGCAGCUUUUUUUAAUGAAAAACUAAAUUAUGGGUUACACUCCUUGGUUUAAUACAAUUUGUGUUUCUGUUAACUAGCAGCAGAAUUUCAGCAUUUGCUACUUACUGGUAGAGAAGAAAAAUUCCACAGCACUGCCAGUACAGGUUAGUUUAAUCUGUAAGUACCUGAUGUUCCUAUUUGAAAUAAUUUGUUCAAAUGAUACCUCUUAAAUACACGAGGGGAAUUUUGGUCUCUGAAAUGUGAAUGUAUCUGUUACUUACUACUGUUUUCAGUAGUGAGUGACCGUCUUGAUUUUUUUCUGAAGAUCUGUAAUGGGUAGGUAAUACCUGCAAGCACUCAUAAGGAAAAUUUAUUACAGAAUCUUAAAUAGCCAUUGGUGUUACUGAAAAGGGUGGAGAUCUAAAGUUGAAGUCACUUGUUCAGUAACUGACCUAUUAUAAAAGAGGCUGUUUUAUCAGUGAACGAUUUAUAGGAUACUAUAUUUGUUGUGUUUGGGAAUAAGCAUUUCUGUUUGUAAGAAUCUGUAGCAGUAAUGUAAUCUUUCUUUCGUUUUUCUUUAGCUAUUGCUAAUUACUGUCUCCUACCAACAGAUUUUUACUUUGUUAGGCCUGUAAGCCAGGAGCUUCUUCCUUUCUGAUUUAUUUUUUUUUUUGUUAGCCCAUUUCAGCACUUCAGAGGCUACCUACAAAUGUGGUUUUUUCCAGCUGUUUUAUCUUACUGCUCUGCCUGUAUUCCUUUUUUCUUCUGCCCUAUUCCAUAUUCUUGGAAACUUUGGCUUUUAAUUUUAUAGAACAUAUUACACCCUAAAAGAAAACCAGAAAGGUUCUUUGGGAUUGGAUAAAGGAUGCAGCCUUCUCCAGAACAGCUGCAUACAUUUAUUUUUAAGCUUUGUGUACCUCAUCUCUGCAUACCAGCACGGGAGAUGAAAACUUUCUGUGCUGUAGUACAAAGCAUAGUUUCACAGCUGGAUAAGCUGUAAAACUCUGUGCUUUAAGUCACUUCUCAAGGGCAUAUUAUCACCUGGUGAAUUUGAGGGGCUUUUGACGUCAUUGGUGGAUAAUUAUAGGAACAUAAGUAUUGGAAAGUCAUACUAGUGUGGGAGCUGAACAGGCACCUUAGUUUUGCCAGCUCGUCUGAGUGGUCUGGUGUAGUUUCAUGGGUGAUUUGAUGCUUCCAGCAGAAUUGCUUAUUUUAGAAUUUUGAAAUCUUAUGUGACACUGCAGAACUCCGUAUUAACAUAAAAACUUUCAAAGGGGUUCUCUCUUCCCAGGUUUUAGAAUAGUUGCACUUGAAGCCCAUCUCCUGGCAUCUUUUCUACCUCAGUUCUCAGUCAUUCACACUAAAUUACUUUGUCUGCAAACCUAGCUAUGUGCACGUUUUCCAAUAAUGGUGUGUAGGUCCUUCUCCCUAGAAGGAAAAAAAAAAAAAGGAAAGUUGUAGAAUGAAAUUUAUAACUUAUCUUUGCCUAUGUAUUUUAAUGGCAGACGUGCAUGGAUAAUAGGGGUACCUUGCCUUGAGGCCAUUAUCCUAUUAAUAGAAAGCAAGCAUCUUAAUUUCUGUGGUUGGCCCUAGUUGAUACUUGGUGCAAUGCUCAGUAAUAAGUCGGAAUGAGUAAUUGAUUGCUUUCUCCUGCUGAAUUCCUUUGUGCAGUCUGUUUUGACAGUGGUUGGAUGCUGACUUGCACGGCUUGUACACCAGCUGGGCAAUCAGUGGGGAUGGCUAAAGACUAGUGGUGUUCUCAGGUGUCUUAUCAUCAAAAAGUAUAUUUGUCCAGGGUAGAUCCCAACACGGACUCUGGUAGAACAUCAUCUCUUUGUGAAACCUUUUAUGGCAAUUAGUUAAGUACUUUUUGGUAGAAUUAAGUUUAUUUUCUUCUGAGAUGGGACCAAAACAAUACUUGGAAUCUUAAGCUUUUAUAACCAGGUGAGCAGUCUUAAGUUGUAGCUCAACUUCUGAUACACCGUUGCAGCGGCUGGUCCGGUCUGGUGCGGUUCCGAAGUCUGCCUCCCCAGUGCUGGUGCGGUAUCUAUGGAACAGUGAGUUCACACUCUUUCCUUUAGAAUUCUGCUUAAUAGCUCAGAAUCACCCCUUCAGAGAUUCUGGUCACUGUGCAGCAAACCCAGACUCCAGACUGUUUUUAGUACCUUUUUAAAAUACUUUAAGCACAUGAUGGAAUUAGUGCCCUCUCAGCAGCCAUACAGCCACAGAAGUUAGCGUGUCGUGAAGUUUUUUUCUGUGACUUGUUACUGCUUUUGUGUAAGUAGUAUGAAAGGGAUGGGAUCAUUGAUGUUUUUCAAAAGACAGGUGUCAAAAUACUGACGUUGAAUUUAAUUUGAGAAAGUGAGAGACUGGUAAGUAUGUGCAUCACUUUAAUGCAUGCAGAUGAUAACAGUAACUAGCUUAAUUUUAUAGCCUUCAUUUUACAAAGAAGAUUCAAAGAAAAUACAGAGCUAUCAUCAUUUGCAUCCAUUGGGAACCUUCUAUGAACUGUGUGCUUCAGGAAUGGAUCAUUGCACAUAUCCACCUCUGUAAUGUGUGUCUACCACUUUGUAACAGUCUCCGAUUAAACAGAAGUGAACCACUAUGUCUUGUGUAUUUUUUUUUCUCUCCUCUUGAGGACUUAUUUAUUACUCUUAACAAACGUUAGCUGUUCCAAAGUGUAAGUAUAAAAUCCACCUCCAUUUGUGUUACACUUUGUACUAGCUCUCUGAUUGUCUAUACUGCAAAAGUUCAUGCAUGUGAGCUUUAUCUUAAAGUGAGUUAUAGCUGGAGAGAAGCAAACUUGGAGGUUCCUUUUGCUAGUGAUCUGCUGUCUUUCUGCUGAACUGACUUUACAAAAAAAUUGACUAUUGAAAUUGGAAGUCAGGAGGAAUAUGGAGGAAAAGUAUCUUUAAUAUUUUCAUAAAACCAGAUGGAGAGGGCAUGCUGUUAAGUGGUCUGUUCUAAACCCUUUCAGAGCAAAACGCUGGAGAGAUGAGGUAGCUUUGAAGAUGUGGGUCCUUCCAACUUCUGUCUACAGGAUGAGAAUGGAUUACUCUGCUAGGCUGGCUGGUGUCAUGUAGCUACCACUGUUUACUCACAGGGCACAGUGGGGGGGAUUGUGUUUCUAAUACCCUGAGGAGGAAAAGAUUUUGGAUCUAAACCUUUAGUUCCUAAGAGGUAGAAAUGAGUAUCUUUGAAAAGCAAGACCCAGGCUUGGGCCUCAAAGGAGAGAGUGGUGAGUCUGCAGCCGCGCGGGCUGCAGGGCAAAGGAUAGCCAGCUGCAGGAUCCACUCAGGAGGCUGCACCCACAGGAAGGAAACAAGUCAUGAGACAACCCUCUUGGCCAAAUACUCUGGCUUUAAUUUUUCAUCAUGCUUUUGGCUAUGCCCAGAUCUGAAGUUGGAAAAGCAAAUCGUGCCUUGAUGCUGUUAGAACUACAUCUUCAGGUAGGGUAAUUAAGCUUGUGUAGAAAUGGUAAUUCCUAAAGGGUAUUAGUUUAAAACUUAAGGUGUAUGGCAGGGUUUCUGGAAAUUUUAGUGACAAUAUAGUAUCAAACAAUGUGACACUUCAAGAAUAACUCCAAGAAUAACACUUUAUUAGUAGAAGCUUGAUGUGACAUGAUGAUUGCAGAUACAGUGCUGACAACAAAUUCCUUUGCAUUUUUCAAAUUAGUAAAUCAGUCUACACAAAGAAUGUUUUUAAGCAUGGAUAUAUACAAUAGACAAAUCUGAGUCUUGUACUGUGUGGACAUUUCUUGGAUAACGCUGUAAAAACAUUGCAUUGUUUGGACUGUGAAAUCACAGUGCUUACAAAUAAUCUUUUAUGUCAUCAGUAUCUAUCUGUUCACAUGUCUCUGCACCCCUCCCCAGAUACAAACCAUAUUAGAUAUAGCUGUAAUAUUUACAUGGAAAAGCAAUGUAAGAGUGAUGUAAAAAAAAACAGUACUAUUUUUUAUUGGUCCCAAUGUUUGCAAAAUCAUCUUAAA